rnacentral:rRNA from 1 species
UACGUAGGUGGCAAGCGUUGUCCGGAUUUACUGGGCGUAAAGAGCGCGCAGGCGGUCGUUCAAGUCGCGUGUGAAAGCCCCCGGCUCAACUGGGGAGGGUCACGCGAUACUGAUCGACUCGAAGGCAGGAGAGGGUAGUGGAAUUCCCGGUGUAGUGGUGAAAUGCGUAGAUAUCGGGAGGAACACCAGUGGCGAAGGCGGCUCUCUGGGGUAUUUCUGACGCUGAGGCACGAAAGCCAGGGGAGCGAACGGG